UGUCACUGUGAUCAAAAGACGUGAGAAGAACAACAUAGAGGAGGAAAUUUUUAUUUUUGUUUGUGGUUUUACAGGUUUAGUCCAUGUUUGGCCAAGUCACAGCUCUGGGCUCAGGUGAGGCCCAAUGGAAGAAAGUUGUUCCCCUCAUGGCAGUGUCAGGAAGCAUAGAGAAAGCUCUGCUCACCCCAAAGGCACACCUUAGAUACCUAUCUCCUCCAACUACACCCUAUCUGCCUACAGUUUCCACCCACUUAAUCCAUAGCAGUGGAUUAAUCCACUGAUUAGGUUACACCUCUUGUAAUCUAAUCAUUUCACCUCACAUUGUCUCACAGGAGCUUUGGGAGGACACCACAUAUCCAAACCAUAACAUUUAACCCGAGUAGACUAAUAUAGUGCAUUAUACUUGACGGGGAAAUACAUCUUCAGUGUUGUGAAUAGUUCAGAGCAGGACAGAUGUUUAACAAAGGUACUAGAGGUCAGCAUGUGCUCAGAAGGACAGGGUGUCCUUGAGAACAUGGAAUUUGUUGAUCAUAUGGCCAGUGAACAACCACAGGCCAGGGAGGGUUGGAGGUAGUUCAUUCAGAGUUAGGAGCCCUAAACCACCAGGCAAGGAUUUAUUCUUCAAGCUCGAUGUUCAAGUGAAGCAGUAGGUCUGGGGUCAGGUCUGAAAUCUUUAUUUACUACAAGUUCAUCAGGUUACACCGGUGCUCCUGGGAAGGAAACUGUGUACUGCAUCUAAGAACCGAUGAUCCCGUCCAACCUCACUCCGGACUUUCUGUAUCCUGGAAAGGCUGAGAACUGGAGACUUCCAGGGAAGGAAACCAUAGGAAGCUCUGCUUACCAGAUGGAAACUGGACAAGAAAGAGAAAUGACCAGAAUUGUCAAGGAGAUGAUGUAUGGGACACAUUCCCUUGGUGAUACUUCUGGUGGUUCCGAAAGACCCUGGCCUAGUGUUGCCCUAACCUAGCAGAGUCCAAGCAUCGGAAAAUGCCAGGAAGUGGUCUCUCCAGGAGCUGAUGUCAAGAUGUUAGCAGGCUGCAUUUCUUCUGGAGGGUGAAGAAAGAGUCUGUUUCCUUGCCUUUUCCCACCUCUGGAGAGGUGGAGCAUGAACUUUGGCUUGCAGCACCCAUCUUCAAAGCCAGCAGUGGCAGGCUGGUCCUUCCCCCACUGUGUUGCUGUGAUACUGAAUCUUCUGCCUCCCUCUCCCUGAGUACAAGGAUUACAUUGGUCCACCUGGAGAGUGCAGGAUGGUCUCCUUACCUUAAGUGCAACUGGAUAGGGACUUUUAUUUCAUCUGCAGCCUUAAUCCCCCUUGCCAUAAUAAGGUAACAAAUUCACAGGUUCUGGGGUUUCAUAAUGAAUGAACAUCUUGGGAGGGCAUUAUUCUCGUUGCCACUCUGAUCAACAAUGCUGGUACAUUGUAGGCAUGCAAUGCAUUUCUUAAAUGAUAUGAGUAAAUAAAUAAAACUUUAUUUCUAAGGCCC